CUCCUGCCUCAGCCUCCUGAGUUGCUGGGACUACAGGUGGGUACCAGCAUACACGGCUAAUCUUUUGCACUUUUAGUAGAGAUGGGGUUUCACUCAUGUUAGCCAAGAUGGUCUCAAUCUCCUGACCUCAUGAUCCACCUGCCUUGGCCUCCCAAAGUGCUGGGAUUACAGGUUUGAGUCACCAUGCCCGGCCUCUCUUAACAUUUCCUAUUGUACUAUAGAUCUUAGCAACCUCAGUGUAUAUAUUUUUUCUUUCCCUGUUGAGAAUUUUGACAUUUUCACUUUAAGGAAGCACUUUACAGCUUCUCUUUGACAUAUCCAAAUUGCUGCACAUCACUGCUCUUGCACUUAUGAAGUAGAAUAAGGGUGACUUGAACACAAGCACUGUGAUACCAACAGUUGAUCUGAUAACCCAGCUAGCUCCUUAGUGAUUCACCCACGGGAAGCGUACACAGCAUGGAUUUGUGGGACAAAGGGAUGAUUCACAUUCAGUUCCACCUGGGAUGGGGCAAAAAUCUCAUCAUGCUACUCAGAACUGUGCGCAAUUCAAAACUUAGAAAUUGUUUAUUCUUGGAAUUUUCCAUUGAAUAUUUUCAAACUGCAGUUGACCACUGGUAAUUGAAAACUAUGAAAAGUAAAACUGGGAUAAGGAGGACUACUGUACUAUUGUUUUUCUGUGCAUUUUCAACUCAUUUUAUUUCAGAAGUAAUUGUAUUAUAAAUUUAUUCUGCUUCUGUUUUUGCUUUGGUAGAACACCUUAGGAAAACUGAGAAUGGCAGUCAAAAGUAUAAUGUUUUUAGUUGGUUACUGGGACAGCCAAAAAUAAUCAACUUAUUCCUGAAGGUCCUUCUACUAUAUAAAGGUCUCCACAGUUCAAAUCACAGGUAUUCAGUUUAUAAAACUUUGGUUGACAUUAUCAUUAAGGGUAUACAAAGUGUAAAAUACUAUGUUAACAUUUGAACACUCAUGUUCCAACAGGCUAUGGAAAGGAAAUGGAGCAUUCAUACAGACAGAUAAAUCUUCUAAUUUUAGUCAUUGAAAAAUUACAGCUAAUCAAUCAUGUUGGAGACAACUAUGAAAAGAUAUACUUAAAAUACCUGUUUUUUUUCUUUUCCAUUGGUAUAGAAGGCUUCAUUUUUAAGAUAUUGAAAUAAAUAAUUAAUUUAACUAUAUGGAUUAUGAAUUAUAUGUAUUUGCAUUCCAAAAAUAAUUUUAAAAUUAAGUAACUUCCA
rnacentral:lncRNA from 1 species